rnacentral:rRNA from 1 species
AGAUUGAACGCUGGCGGCAGGCCUAACACAUGCAAGUCGGGCGGUAACAGGAGAAAGCUUGCUUUCUUGCUGACGAGCGGCGGACGGGUGAGUAAUGUAUGGGGAUCUGCCCGAUAGAGGGGGAUAACUACUGGAAACGGUGGCUAAUACCGCAUGACGUCUACGGACCAAAGCAGGGGGCUCUUCGGACCUUGCGCUAUCGGAUGAACCCAUAUGGGAUUAGCUAGUAGGUGGGGUAAUGGCUCACCUAGGCGACGAUCUCUAGCUGGUCUGAGAGGAUGAUCAGCCACACUGGGACUGAGACACGGCCCAGACUCCUACGGGAGGCAGCAGUGGGGAAUAUUGCACAAUGGGCGCAAGCCUGAUGCAGCCAUGCCGCGUGUAUGAAGAAGGCCUUAGGGUUGUAAAGUACUUUCAGCGGGGAGGAAGGUGAUAAGGUUAAUACCCUUA